GAGAGACUCGGUGAAAUUUUAGUACCUGUGAAGAUGCAGGUUACCCGCGACAGGACGGAAAGACCCCAUGGAGCUUUACUGCAGUUUGAUAUUGAGUAUCUGUACCACAUGUACAGGAUAGGUAGGAGCCAUUGACUUCGGGACGCCAGUUUCGAAUGAGGCGUUGUUGGGAUACUACCCUUGUGUUAUGGCUACUCUAACCCAGAUAGGUUAUCCCUAUCGGAGACAGUG
rnacentral:rRNA from 1 species